rnacentral:rRNA from 1 species
AGCGAACGCUGGCGGCGUGCCUAACACAUGCAAGUCGAACGUGAAAGGGAGCAAUCCCAAGUAAAGUGGCGUACGGGUGAGUAACACGUAGGUAAUCUACCCCAGAAUCUGGAAUAACCGGCCGAAAGGCUGGCUAAUACUGGAUAGAGCGACGGAAUCCGUAAUUGGGUUUUUCGGGAAAGGGAGCCUGUAAAAAGGCCUCCGUUCUGGGAUGAGCCUGCGUCCCAUCAGCUAGUUGGUGAGGUAAAAGCUUACCAAGGCAAUGACGGGUAGCUGGUCUGAGAGGACGAUCAGCCACACUGGGACUGAAACACGGUCCAGACUCCUACGGGAGGCAGCAGUGGGGAAUCUUGCGCAAUGGACGAAAGUCUGACGCAGCAACGCCGCGUGAGUGAAGAAGGCCUUCGGGUUGUAAAGCUCUGUCGAGUGGGACGAAAAUGCUUGGAGUUCACAGCUCCAGGAACUGACGGUACCACUAAAGGAAGCACCGGCUAACUCCGUG